rnacentral:rRNA from 1 species
GGGUUGUGAGGUUAAGCGACUAAGCGUACACGGUGGAUGCCCUGGCAGUCAGAGGCGAUGAAGGACGUGCUAAUCUGCGAUAAGCGUCGGUAAGGUGAUAUGAACCGUUAUAACCGGCGAUUUCCGAAUGGGGAAACCCAGUGUGAUUCGUCACACUAUCAUUAACUGAAUCCAUAGGUUAAUGAGGCGAACCGGGGGAACUGAAACAUCUAAGUACCCCGAGGAAAAGAAAUCAACCGAGAUUCCCCCAGUAGCGGCGAGCGAACGGGGAGGAGCCCAGAGCCUGAAUCAGUGUGUGUGUUAGUGGAAGCGUCUGGAAAGGCGCGCGAUACAGGGUGACAGCCCCGUACACAAAAAUGCACAUACUGUGAGCUCGAUGAGUAGGGCGGGACACGUGGUAUCCUGUCUGAAUAUGGGGGGACCAUCCUCCAAGGCUAAAUACUCCUGACUGACCGAUAGUGAACCAGUACCGUGAGGGAAAGGCGAAAAGAACCCCGGCGAGGGGAGUGAAAAAGAACCUGAAACCGUGUACGUACAAGCAGUGGGAGCCUCUUUAUGGGGUGACUGCGUACCUUUUGUAUAAUGGGUCAGCGACUUAUAUUCUGUAGCAAGGUUAACCGAAUAGGGGAGCCGAAGGGAAACCGAGUCUUAACUGGGCGUUAAGUUGCAGGGUAUAGACCCGAAACCCGGUGAUCUAGCCAUGGGCAGGUUGAAGGUUGGGUAACACUAACUGGAGGACCGAACCGACUAAUGUUGAAAAAUUAGCGGAUGACUUGUGGCUGGGGGUGAAAGGCCAAUCAAACCGGGAGAUAGCUGGUUCUCCCCGAAAGCUAUUUAGGUAGCGCCUCGUGAAUUCAUCUCCGGGGGUAGAGCACUGUUUCGGCAAGGGGGUCAUCCCGACUUACCAACCCGAUGCAAACUGCGAAUACCGG